UCUGGGGCAAGGUCUCCUGCUGUUGAGAGGACCUACUAGUGACAUGAACAAGAAUAGAGGGACGAAAAUGUAAAACCCACCUUGUAUAUACUACUCCCGUGGAGGGAUGGAAGGAUAAGGUCAAUCCUCAAUGUUCCAGACUUCUCUCCCCUUCUUGAGCUAAUCAACAUGGCAUCAGAGCCACCCGUCUCCGGCGAGGCAGCGGCGGCCGUGGAACGGCGUUGAGUGGGUUCAGAGGCGGCGGAAGUUGGUGGUCAACGGCGCUGUGAAGGAGGGAGACCUGGGCCCGUGAGGCGACUCAGUGCAGUGGUGGAACUGAGCAGAGUGCUGCGGCGGUGAAGGAGGUGCUGGGAGGAACAAGGCGGCGAGGAGCAGUGGUCUGAUUUACCAUGGGUGAGUUGGCUGUUUGUGUGGUUGCGUGUGGAGGUUGGCCAGGCUGGUGGUGUGAUUAGGGAGGAGAAAGGAGCCGACGGCUAGCUAGUACAGGGUGCAGAGGCUUGAAUCUAAGAAGUGGAAGUGCAGCGUGUAGAGGAGAUGGCUGAAAUCAGUGAUGCCCCAGCAGUUACUUUCGGUGAGCUUGCGGCUGUAUUGCGAGCGAUGGAUGAGAAAUACAGGGCUCUGUUUGAUGCAAUCAGCAAGCAAGCUAGCAGCUCCAAAUCAGAGGCUGAAAUAAAGGAGGAGAUACAUCCCUUACAGAUGCCACAUGUGAAGUUAGAGGGUCCUGAGAACUAUGUAAGCUGGGCUGAGCUAAUCAACACCUGCCCCCAUGGCAACAUCAACAUAGUCCACGCCAAGUUCAUCUCCAACCUGCCGGUAGAGGCCAUUGGGCGUAAGGUCGGUGUCUUAGUGUACCUGAGCAGCAUCUAAAGGUUAGUUUCCAGAAUUUGUCAGUUAUCUGCUUACCAUUCAGGUGUCGAUUCCAGAAUUUGUUGUUGCUCAAUGGGAAGUUUUCUAAAUCGACUUGUUAGUUGUUCAUGAUUCGAUGAUUUAUUUUUUGGUUUGGUCAAUGUUUGAAAUGUUGGUCGCACACUUGCAAUGUGCUGUCAUUCUUCUGCAGAACGAAUUGUGCAAUUUGAAAGUGUGAAAACGGGCACUAGGUGCGUGUACUGAUUACUGAAUUUGGUCCCACAUAAAAGUUUGCACUCUGGGCGAUAUUUAGGCCAUUCUCCUCUGCCCAUCUGAUGGGCAAGGUGUAUGGAUAUUUCUGUUCAUACAACAUUGCUGGACAUGUGACUUCACCAUGAUCAAAUGAGUAAUAGUCUCUUGGAUUUUGCACAUCCUUUGCGUCCUUUCCCACUUCAGGCAUUUGCAUGGACUGUCAACAAUUCAUUAUUUUUAAUGAAGAAUGUCUUAUAUACACUGGAUAAGAUAAGAUAGGGGCGGACGAACUAGGGCUGCUGCAAGGCCGAGGUGCCAGACGGCCUAAUUAUUAGAGUGAUGAUUUCCACAUGUAAUGAUGCUACGCUCAUAUUUUUUGCAUAGGAAUCUUCAGAUUUUACAUUGAAAUGUGGGCCUAUAGCUUGUAGAUGAUGUAUGAGGUUUGAAAUCUUCAGUGGUUCUUCCAGUUAAGGAGAGCUUAUCAGGUUUUCUUCCUGCUCUCAGUUGGCCUCUUGGGUGAUAUUUUUUGGACUAAUUUAAGGAAUCAGGUAAGCAUUCACCUUACAAGUCAUAAUAACUUUUCCGUAAAAUGGUCCAUCUGUUAAGUUUCUCAGCAAAGCGCACCACAAAUGUGACCAGAGCACUUCACAAUGGUCAUGGAAUUACAGUAAUUAUUGGGGUAGUGAUUAUUUAUGUUGACACCCUUCUGUUCGUUGUCAAGCAAUUCAGUAUUGGUGUUGAUGGACUUUUCUCUUUGGAUUGACAUAAAUACGGGGCAAUAUGAUUUAACGGUGAAGGAUGUCAGGCUAUGGUUAGGACAUGUGUACUAUGUAAUGGUUGGUUUGGCAUAAUAAUAAUAAUUCAUCUUUCCAUGUA